rnacentral:misc_RNA from 1 species
AACACUGUUAACCUGCGGUACCUGCGGAGGGAUCAUCACUGCGUUAGUUUUAUUGUGCCUGUGAACUGGGAGACUGUGGGCUGGUUGGCGGGCGCGCGUAUGUGAGCGAGCAUGUGAGCUCGCAUGUGAGCUCGCGCAGCGAGCGAGCGUGAGGCGGGUGGGGAGCGCAUGGCGCGCCGCACCCGCAUCACUCGCGCGCACCCGCCGCCAGACUGCAUUUCAAACACACACUUGCAACAC